UUACUCCAGGUGGUGGCCAGGUGGAGGUGAAAUCUGAGAAACUGGACUUCAAAGAUAAGGUGCAAUCGAAAAUCGGGUCCUUAGAUAACAUCAGCCACGUCCCUGGAGGAGGGAAUAAAAAGAUUGAGACCCACAAGCUGACCUUCCGCGAGAACGCCAAAGCCAAGACCGACCACGGCGCUGAAAUCGUCUACAAGUCCCCCACCAUCUCCGGAGAUGCCUCCCCGCGCCGCCUUAGCAACGUCUCCUCCACCGGCAGCAUCAACCUGGUGGACUCCCCCCAGCUGGCCACGCUAGCCGACGAGGUGUCCGCCUCGCUGGCCAAGCAGGGCUUGUGAUCGGGGCACGGCGGCGACCAGGAGAGAAGACAAGGAAAGGAAACAAAAAAAAAAAAAAAAAAAAAAAAAAAAAAAAAAA